AUUGAACGCUGGCGGCAUGCUUUACACAUGCAAGUCGAACGGCAGCGCGGGCUUCGGCCUGGCGGCGAGUGGCGAACGGGUGAGUAAUGCAUCGGAACGUGCCCAGUAGUGGGGGAUAGCCCGGCGAAAGCCGGAUUAAUACCGCAUACGACCUGAGGGUGAAAGCGGGGGACCGAAAGGCCUCGCGCUAUUGGAGCGGCCGAUGUCGGAUUAGCUAGUUGGUGGGGUAAAGGCUUACCAAGGCGACGAUCCGUAGCUGGUCUGAGAGGACGACCAGCCCCACUGGGACUUGGAACCCGGCCCGGCUUCCACGGGAAGCCGCAGGUGGGAAUUUUUGACAAAGGGGGCAACCCUGAUCCAGCCACGCCGCGUGCGGGAAGAAGGCCUUCGGGUUGUAAACCGCUUUUGUUCGGGAAGAAAUCCUCUGGGCUAAUACCCCGGGGGGAUGACGGUACCGGAAGAAUAAGCACCGGCUAACUACGUG
rnacentral:rRNA from 1 species